CAACGUCUUCAGGGCGGGGUGCAAUUCCCCACCGGCGGUAUGGCCCUUGGGCCGAGCCCGCGAGCGCUUUCGCCUCCCGGCGGAAGGUCAGCAGAUCUGGUGACAGGCCAGAGCCGACGGUAAUAGUCCGGAUGAGAGAAGACGACA
rnacentral:ncRNA from 2 species